GGCUGUGUAGCUCAAUUGGAUAGAGUAUUGGAUUUCGGCUCCAACGGUUGUAGGUUCGAAUCCUAUCACAGUCACGA
rnacentral:tRNA from 1 species